UACGUAGGGGGCAAGCGUUGUCCGGAAUCAUUGGGCGUAAAGAGCGUGUAGGCGGCCCGAUAAGUCCGCCGUGAAAGUCCAGGGCUCAACCCUGGGAUGCCGGUGGAAACUGUCGGGCUAGAGUCCGGAAGAGGCGAGUGGAAUUCCUGGUGUAGCGGUGAAAUGCGCAGAUAUCAGGAGGAACACCAAUGGCGAAGGCAGCUCGCUGGGACGGUACUGACGCUGAGGCGCGAAAGCGUGGGGAGCAAACGGG
rnacentral:rRNA from 1 species